rnacentral:rRNA from 1 species
UACGUAGGGUGCGAGCGUUAAUCGGAAUUACUGGGCGUAAAGUGUGCGCAGGCGGCCCCGCAAGUCGAGUGUGAAAGCCCCGGGCUUAACUUGGGAAUUGCGCUCGAAACUAUGGUGCUGGAGUGUGGCAGAGGAAGGUGGAAUUCCAGGUGUAGCGGUGAAAUGCGUAGAGAUCUGGAGGAACACCGAUGGCGAAGGCAGCCUUCUGGGCCAACACUGACGCUCAUGCACGAAAGCGUGGGGAGCAAACAGG